CGGUUAUAAAUGAAAAAGAAUUGAAUACUCCCUCUCUCCCUCACGCCCUCUAUCUUUCUCUGUAAUCCUCCAUUACUCAGGUCAAGGUCGAACCCAAAUUUUGGGUGCUAACAGAGAGAUAAUAUAGGAGGAUUUCUGCAAGUGAUUUUAGGGAUUUGCAGAGUGAGAGAUAGGACAACGGGCGAUAAAGAGAGAGGUGUAGGUUGAGGUGCGGGUUUAGGGUUGGUUAUUUCCGCACAUAACAAACCCUAAUCCCCUUUUUAGUAAAUUGAAUUAGUACUAGCUGAACAGGAGUUACUCUCUGCAACUCUUCUCCCACAGGCCUGAACCUCAACUAUGGAGAGAAGCUUGCUUCUCUUCUUCUCCCCAUUUAAAACCCCAUCUCUCUUUCUCCUCUUCUUCUUCUUCCUCAAAACUGAAUUAGUUUUAUUUUUUUUAUUUUUUUUAUCCCACUUGCUCAAAACUGAAUUUUUUGUUGUGUGAAUAUAUAUGUGAACAUAUAAUAUCAGCAUUUCGAGUGAAUCGAAUUCAUUUCAAAUUUUCUUAAAUUUAUUGAUUGUCAGAUGACAUAGUUAACAGCUUCUGUGUUUUAAAACAAUUGAAUGUGAGAUUUACAUAAUUAAAUAGUCAAUUGGAAAAUUGAAAUGAGAUGUUAGUUUUACCUUACUGAUUUCUUUGUUGGGUUUAUUACUGCUCAAUGUUAAAACCUGACAAUUGUUUUUGGGCAAGUGGUGAUCGGCCCGCCUGGGUUAGGAAAGACCACUUACUACAAUGGCAUGUCUGAGUUCCUCCAGCUCAUCAGAAAGUAGAAAAUUUCACUCUGAAUUCUAGGUUUUCAAGUUUUUCCAUGGCUUCAAUUUUGGUUUUUGAAUCUGCCUGAAAUAUUUACAAUGGCAAUUUGUUGUUUUGGUAUGCAAAAAAGUUGUUGUGGUAAAUCUGGAUCAUGCCACCGAUGGAUUGCCGUAUCCUUUUCGGGGUUUUAUGUUUUUCAUGUUUGUUGUUUGUAAUUUGUAAUGUUGCAUUGCAUUCCAAUGUCGAAUGUUGAGGGUAAUAAAGUAGAGCUACUGGUCCACCUUCUUUCAUUUGGUGCUUUCAACAUUGAAUUUUUUAACCCUACUCAUUCCGCUUAGUUUUUAUUUGAUUUGGAUUUUGCAGUUCAAAGCCGAUUUGGGGAUUUUGAAAUGCUGGACGCUGGGCCAGUUACGCCACAACAGAACCAUGGAGGAUGAUAUCAUAGUGGAUCCAGUGGAGUCUCCAGAGAUUGUUGAUGAUCCAUACCAAACUAUGUGAGUUUUCAAGUUGAAAAGUGGAAGUCCGAACUUUUAGCUCAGAGGAAAACCCUUGGUUGAAUCAAAUACUGAAGAGCUAGCCAAUUUAACAUCAGCGGAUAUGAGGGAAUCUGAUUUCAGUGGUUCAACUUUCAAUGGUGCGUACAUGGAGAAAGCUGUCACAUAUAAGGCAAACUUUGACGUAAGAACUUCACACUGUACAAAUAGAUACUAAAAGGGAAGAGCACGGUGGCGUGUGCUUUGGGUGGGAGUUUGUACCGCAGGGGAAGCUGUCGUACAUUCUUGAUGGGGACAAUGUCAGGCAUGGCUUGAAUUGCGACCUUGGUUUUAAAGCAGAACAUAGUGCAGAGAACAUUGGUAGGAUUGGUAUGUAUGUGUAUGCCUCUAUUUAGAUUAACCAAACCCUCUUUUUAGAUUAACUAUGGCUUUCUGCUUCAUUAUGUGUUCAUGAAACUAAUCUCUGCAGUUCUUCAAUUCAUCUGGGGUAUUUGUGAUUUUGAACAACACUAAAAUUAUUUAUGGGUUAUAGGAACCACGGGUUAGGAAAAUGGGUCCAAAUUCAAAGCUGCAUUUUCUUCCUUCAAAAUAAGAAGAAAAAACUUCCUCAGCUCCAUAUUUCAGCACCUCAGGUAUAUUUGUGUUCUAAAGCCUUCUAUUUCUUUCUGUUUCUUCAGAGCUAUUAUUUUACCCAUAUGUUAUUUGUAUAGUGAAAGAUUGGAUUUCAUAUGCCUCAGUACUUAUGGUUUUGUACAAUACAAACUUGAGCUUAUUGAUCCAAGUGGCUAGAACAGUAUACUCAACCAAUUUCAUAU